rnacentral:rRNA from 1 species
ACUCCGUGCCAGCAGCCGCGGUAAUACGGAGGUGCAAGCGUUAAUCGGAAUUACUGGGCGUAAAGCGCACGCAGGCGGUCUGUCAAGUCGGAUGUGAAAUCCCCGGGCUCAACCUGGGAACUGCAUUCGAAACUGGCAGGCUAGAGUCUUGUAGAGGGGGGUAGAAUUCCAGGUGUAGCGGUGAAAUGCGUAGAGAUCUGGAGGAAUACUGGUGGCGAAGGCGGCCCCCUGGACAAAGACUGACGCUCAGGUGCGAAAGCGUGGGGAGCAAACAGGACUAGAUACCCUGGUAGUCCACGCCGUAAACGAUGUCGACUUGGAGGUUGUGCCCUUGAGGCGUGGCUUCCGGAGCUAACGCGUUAAGUCGACCGCAUGGGGAGUACGGCCGCAAGGUUAAAACUCAAAUGAAUUGACGGGGGCCCGCACAAGCGGUGGAGCAUGUGGUUUAAUUCGAUGCAACGCGAAGAACCUUACCUACUCUUGACAUCCAGAGAACUCACCAGAGAUGGAUUGGUGCCUUCGGGAACUCUGAGACAGGUGCUGCAUGGCUGUCGUCAGCUCGUGUUGUGAAAUGUUGGGUUAAGUCCCGCAACGAGCGCAACCCUUAUCCUUUGUUGCCAGCGGUUAGGCCGGGAACUCAAAGGAGACUGCCAGUGAUAAACUGGAGGAAGGUGGGGAUGACGUCAAGUCAUCAUGGCCCUUACGAGUAGGGCUACACACGUGCUACAAUGGCGCAUACAAAGAGAAGCGACCUCGCGAGAGCAAGCGGACCUCAUAAAGUGCGUCGUAGUCCGGAUUGGAGUCUGCAACUCGACUCCAUGAAGUCGGAAUC